rnacentral:rRNA from 1 species
CCCUUAGAUGUUCUGGGCUGCACGCGCGCUACACUGACACACUCAGCGAGUCACCUGAUCUGAGAAGACCGGGCAAUCAUGUGAGCGUGUGUCGUGAUGGGGAUAGAAUAUUGUAAUUAUUACUCCUCAACGAGGAAUUCCUAGUAAGCGCGAGUCAGCAGCUCGCGCUGAUUACGUCCCUGCCCUUUGUACACACCGCCCGUCGCUCCUACCGAGGGGGUGAUCCGGUGAAUGAUUCGGACUUUGGCAUUGCUAUGUUUCAUAGCAUUGCUGGGGGAAGUCUUGUGAACCUUAUCACUUGGAGGAAGGAGAAGUCGUAACA